AUAUAAAGUAAAACUAUUGGUUUAUUAAUUCUUUAUAGAAAGGUAAAAUUUAGAUAUAAGUGCAUAAUUUAAUAUAAGCCAAUUGUAAAUUGAAUCUGCGAAAGCCUUGAGGGAAACUGGGAUUAGAUACCCCAUUAUUCCUGGCUAUAAAUAGAUAUGUAUUUACCGGAGUACUAUGAAUCAAUCCAAUAAAAUUUAAAACUCAAAGGGCUUGGCGGUGUUUUAGACCUCUCAGGGGAACCUGUCUCGUAAUCGACAAUCCACGUUAAACCUAACCUUUGUUUGCAAUUACAGUUUGUAUACCGUCGUCGUCAGGUAACUUUUAAAAAAUAAGAAGUUGGCAAAAGAAUCGCUUAAAUUUAAACGUCAGAUCAAGGUGCAGCUUAUACAGAGGUGAGGAUGGGUUACAAUUAAAACUUAUAAUUACGAAUAGGGCAAUGAAAUUCCUUUCCUAAUGAAGGAGGACUUGAAAGUAAAAUAGACUAUACAAGCAAUUUGAAUAAGGCUCUGAAACGUGC
rnacentral:rRNA from 1 species